rnacentral:rRNA from 1 species
CGCGAAGAACCUUACCAGGGCUUGACAUCCAACUAACGAAGCAGAGAUGCAUUAGGUGCCCUUCGGGGAAAGGUGAGACAGGUGGUGCAUGGUUGUCGUCAGCUCGUGUCGUGAGAUGUUGGGUUAAGUCCCGCAACGAGCGCAACCCUUAUUGCUAGUUGCUACGCAAGAGCACUCUAGCGAGACUGCCGUUGACAAAACGGAGGAAGGUGGGGAUGACGUCAAAUCAUCAUGCCCCUUAUGUCCUGGGCUACACACGUAAUACAAUGGCGUCCAACAGAGGGAUGCGAAGCCGCGAGGUGGAGCAAAUCCCCAAAAGACGUCUCAGUUCGGAUNGUAGGCUGCAACUCGCCUAUAUGAAGUCGGAAUUGCUAGUAAUCGCGGAUCAGCAUGCCGCGGUGAAUACGUUCCCGGGCCUUGUACACACCGCCCGUCACACCAUGAGAGUCGGGAACACCCGAAGUCCGUAGUCUAACCAGUAAUGGAGGACGCGGCCGAAGGUGGGUUUGAUAAUUGGGGUGAAGUCGUAACAAGGUAGCCGUUCGAGAACGAGCGGCUGGAUCACCUCCUU